GUGCCCGUAGCUCAGUUGGAUAGAGCGUCAGCCUCCGGAGCUGAAGGUCGGUGGUUCGAACCCACUCGGGCGCGCCA
rnacentral:tRNA from 1 species